AAAUAAAAAAGAUACAGAAGUCUGUUUCAGUGACAGUAUGCACAAGUUCUUUUAUUUGUUUGCCUCACAUCCUUUAAUUCAUGCUCUUGGCAUGGCCAUGGUUCAAAUUUCCUCAUCCAGGAAAUUUGGGUAUUGGGUCAUGGACAUUUUUUAUGAUAACAAAGGAGUUAGAAACUUGGAGAUAAAUCUGUUAAAAGGUAGAAACUAUUUUUAUGUUUUAAUACACUAGCUAUUUCUGUGCCCAUUGAGAGAGGACAAUAUGGCUUUAGGAUUCUUGGUGGUGAACUUAAUUGAUGUACAUGGUAAGAAAGGAUUUAUGAAAUAUAUGACAAAUAGUUGCAACUACAUAGUUCGAUUUUCUUGUUAGUAGUAUUAUUAAUUGUUAUUGUGAUUUCAGUUGCCAAGUGAUUUACCUUUCUGACAAAGCAGCAUUGAAUUAAUAGGAUGUUCCGAGUUUUUGGACACAAUAAAGUUUGGGUUUUGGAUGGAGGUUUGCCACAAUGGUGCAAAUCUGGAUAUGAAGUUGAAUCUACGUCAUCUAAAGUGGCAAUUUUGCGAGCUACUUCAGUCAGUAAAGCUAUUGAAAACGUAUAUCGUGGUCAAUUGGUAUGUUGUAUAUUACACUUACAGGUCCAAGUUUGUGCUAUAUAAUUGAUUGGUAGGCUAGUCCCUUACUGUUUUUGCUUUAAAGCACAAGCUUUUGCAAACAUAUGAUUUAUUUCAAGUUUUAAAGUAAAAUUAUGCAUCCGGUGGCAUCUGUAUCCUCCUAUUUAUUAGAUGGCCACCUAGUUAGGAUAAUAAAAUAUUUUAACUUAUUUGUUGCACCAAUUUGGUUGUUUCUUAGAACUAACUUGUAUACUAAAAGAUUAACCCAUGCUGUGUGAUUCUCAUUAUCAUACUGCACAAGACAUGAGAUGGGAUAAAAGUGAUGUGCUACAUAUAUGAAACCAAGAGGAGUAGCUGUUGCAGAUAAAAUAUAACAAUUUUCUGAAAUGCAUUUCUUAUAUUUGCAGUCAAUAUGUGAAAAGGAUAUCAUAGGGAU
rnacentral:lncRNA from 1 species